rnacentral:lncRNA from 1 species
GAAGUUAGAAAAGAAGUGGAUCGACUGGGGUAAAAUGUGAGAGGAAUAUAGCAAUGAUGUGGGGGCUAAGAUUAACCUAAGAUUGCGCCCUAACACAAAAAAAAAUGAGUGGGAAAAGAAAAAAUAACAAAAAGAAUUAGUAAAGUAAAAUUAACUAAUAUAUUAAAUGGGCUGAAUUCUACAAACCUGGGCCAUAAUGUGCCCGUAACAAAAGAAAAUAAUAGUUAAGUAAACUUAUUUAAAAAACUAAACAAAG